CUCAGUGGUGAAGGCUGUGCGGACACUGGGGGCCAGCCAGGGGUUUGGCCCCUUACUCAACCCAACCACGGUCUUCUCCGGCGCAGGCCGAUUUGAGGACCUAGCCUCCUUGAUGCUGACGGCCUGACGGCUCCCGGGUGCCGGAUAUCUGACCCAGGCCACGGAGGCUCCCCUGGGAGACCUGGCAGGCCGGGAGGUGUGAGUUGGCUCUGCGCAGCUGCUCUGGGAGAGCCAGUCCACGGAGCCAAAGCUGGAGGGCAGCUGCCGGCCACAAGGUGUGGAGGAGGAGAGACGCAUGGCCGUCAGUUGCUUGCCCUGGAAACCAACCAUGAUGCUGUGAUGAAAUGCAGGCAACUGAGUUGUGUUUCAGCCCAAAGCAGCAAAUGGGAUCCAGCUUCAGGACCAUCAUCUGACACAGAGGAAGAAGACUUACAUAGAAUGCCUAACCAGCACCCAAGAUCAUGCUCAUAGGUGGAAGAGCCUUGCCUUGUCUCAGAUGAGACUUUGGACUGUGGACUUUCGAGUUAAUGCUGAAAUGAGUUGAGGCUUUGGGGGACUGUUGGGAAGGCAUGAUUGGUUUUAAAUAUGAAUAUAUGAGAUUUGGGAGGGGGCCGGGGUGGAAUGAUAUGGUUUGGCUCUGUGUCCCCACCCAAAUCUCAUCUUGUAGCUCCCAUAAUCUUCCCAUGUUGUGGGAGGGACCCAGUGGGAGAUGAUUGAAUCAUGAGGGCGGGUCUUUCUCAUGCUGUUCUCAUGAUCAUGAAUGGGUCUCACAAGAUCUAAUGGUGUUAAAAAUGGGAGUUUCUCUGCACAAGCUCUCUGCCUGCUGCCUUUCACAAAGGAUGUGACUUGCUUCUCCUUGCCUUCUGCCAUGAUUGUGAGGCCUCCCUAGCCAUGAUUGUGUGGAACUGUGAGUCCAAUUAAACCUCUUUCUUUUGUAAAUUUA
rnacentral:lncRNA from 1 species